rnacentral:tRNA from 2 species
GACUCACUAGCUCAGCGGCCAGAGCAUUUGGCUCUUAACCAAAGGGUCCUGGGUUCGAAUCCCAGGUGGGUCA